CAUGGAUGUGGAAUCUAGAAAAAAUGAUAUAGGUGAUCUUAUUUAUAGAACAGAAAUAGAGACACAGAUACAGAGAACAAAGCAGUGUAUGGCUGCCAA